GUAAUCUGCAGCACACACACGCUAAAAUCGGAACGAUAUAGAGAAGAAUAGCAUGGCCCCUGCAUGAGGAUGGCACGCAUAUUUGUGAAGCGUUCCACCUAGUA
rnacentral:snRNA from 1 species